CUCCGCUGCUCCCUUCCCCGCUGAGCCCGGCUGGUCGCUCGGCUCUCGGUUCCCGCGGGCUUUCCUGGCGACGGCCUCCCCCCUUCUGGCCUGGGGUCUUGCUCCUCUCCCUCUUCUUUUCUCCACGUCUCUCCUCUCCCUCUUCGUUUCCUUACGCCUCUCCCCCUCCUGCUUUCCGCCUGUUCCGGGAGCCGAGCCCGGUCGCCUGGCUGCGCCGUGCAGCCGAGCGAGGCCCCCAGGUCCCUGUGGAACUGCGCUCCCCUGCCUCCAACUCCCUCCAUCAUCCGACCUGCUCUUUUCUUCACUGCUCAUUUCUUUCUUCCCUGAAAUAGGAGGCAGCUAGUCCCUUCUCCAUUCUCCUUGUUUUCAGUCUGUACUGUUUCUCCCUUUCGCCACCCCACCCCACUCCUUGGUUUCCCCCUUGUCCCCGCCCUCCCACCUUCUCCCUAAACUCAGCCCGAUGGAACAGUGAGAGGGCGAAGAUAAAAAUGGGAAAUGUCAGUAUCAACAUUGUUAUUGUUUUUGGUUGCUGAAACGGAAGAUGAACUGGAAUGCCCAAAUCAACUCAGACCCAGGACCAAGAUUGAGUUCUUAAAAUUGCAAACUCCAGUAUGCUCAUGGCUGAAGUCUGCAAUCAGUGUUUUCUACCAACUCAGUGGACCAGCUUCUUGCCGCUCACCAGCCUCCACUACCAACAUGGGCUCCCAGCUCCUUCUUUUCUCCAAACUUAGAAGUGUUCAUUUUUGCUCCCUGUUUUUUCCAAGUCUCAUCCUUUGCUCUCUGCUGGGUAGAUCAGUUCAUAGCACCCUGGUAAAGCAGUGUUGUGAAGCUGAAAGGGAUCUGGGACAACAGCCAGGUCCCCCAGAAGCAGCAAGCUUUGUAGGGAAUGUGCUCUAGAAAUCACCAUUUCUGAAACUCGGCUGCUGCUGCACAUCUUGGAAGAGGAAUAUGUAGCCAAGCUCAAAGCAAAGGUAUUUGGAGAAUUGAAAUCUUGCAUGCCAGGAGACCUUGAUCCCAUAACCUCAGAAGCAGAUCUGGAUCCAGUCAAAUUGAGGUCAAACUCUGAUCAACUUCUCCACAGUCAGUAGAAGAAAAAAGCAACUUGAUGUCUUGAGUCAUAUGUUUGGACACUAAAGAUGACAUUCAAGGGGAUACUUAAAUUCUAGGCAUAGUAAAUAUAUAGUAGAUAUAUAUAUAUAUAUAUUGACUUGUUGCUUAAGUCAGUGCUUCUCAAGCUUUUUUUUAGAUGCACACCAACCCCAGAGGGUGAAGAUGGGGACAUCUGAGUGUCUGCAUUUUUUUGGUACUAGGAUUUGAACCCAGGAGUGCUUAACCACUGAGCAAUAUCCCCAGCCUUUUUUAGUUUUUAUUCUGAGACAGGGUCUUGCUAAAUUGCUUAGGGCCUCACUAAGUUGCUAAGGCCAGUCUCGAACUUGCAACUCUACUGCCUCAGCCUCCCAAGUAGCUGGGAUUACAUGCCUUUAUCACCAUGCCCAGCAGGUGUCUGUGUUUCUUAACUUGCUCCAUGCGGAUGCCUAUGGUUCACAGGUCAUAUGUUAAGUAGCAAGACCUUAGAAGAUAGGAUGCAGAUGACCCUCAACUGAUGCUAAAAGAAAUCUGAAAUAAAUUGGGGCUCAGUUGCAGAACACUUGCCUAGCAGGCACAAGGCCCUGGGUUUGAGACCCAGCACAGAUGGAAGGAAAAGAAGAGAAGGAAAGGACCCAUCCAAAAAUGUGAACAUGUUCAACUUAUAACGUGACACUUGGGCUCCUUCCCUAAAGCCCUUUCUGCUAGCUGCCCAAGGAAUCACCUUUGUUGUCAUGUAUCAUUCCCUUCCCUUCUGGAAUAGUUCAUCUUCUUAGAAUAUAAGAAGGAUACACCAACCCUUGGCAGUUCAUGAAAUUUAAGAUCUGACCCGCCAGGGAUGGAUGGGAGGCAGGACAAAUCAGGAGAUCUCAGUAGCACAAGCUUUGGGACCUCCUCAGGAUGUACCACAACACACCAGAAUUCUCUGUGUCUCUACAAGUUUCAAGUUUCGGUCAGGUGUUUUAUCUUCAAGCUCUAACAUAAAUGAAUUAAAUUUGUGUCAUACCUUUUUUACCCCUUGUAUGGCAUUCCUUGAUGUUAAUUUUUUUUUGAGGUGGGGGACUGGGGAUUGAACCCAGAUGCACUUUACUACUGAGCUAUAUCCUCACCCAUUUUUAUUUUUUUGAGAUUGGGUCUCCCUAAAUUGCCCAGGCUGGCCUCCAACUUGCAAUCCUCUUGCUUUAGCCUCGCAAGUCUCUGGAAUUACAGGUGAGCACCAGUGUGUUUGGCUCUUAAUAUUAAUUUUAACUUGCUUUUAUAUAUGUAUAAGUGUGUGUGUGUGUAUGUGUGCGUGUGUGUAUGUAUGAGCACACCUAGGGGAAAAGAAGAUGGAAAUGAAAUGGCAUAAUGUGACUUCCCCAAAAUAGAUUAUUAAAAAGUCCUUGGUAUAACACUCUUAGGACAUUUAAAAUACUCUACAUUAUAUAUGUUGGCCAACAUGUGUUUGGGAUUUAUAACUAAAAUGUUCUCUGUGAGCAGGAUUGAUCUUUAUAUCUUCACAAAAUAUGCUUGGCUUUUAUUUGAUUUUAAAAAAUACUAAUUGCUAUAUUUCAAAGGGAUGUUUUUAGACAAGAGUUUCUCCCUAAUCAUAGGGAUAUGUGUCUGGAAAUAUCCUCAAUAGAAGAAUUCAGGAUUGGGGCAAUGAAAUGAUGAGUAAGAAUCUGGGUUUCGUUCUUUUACUUACUAAAUGUUAGUCAACUAAUUUUUCUAAAGCUCAAUCAUGUCUUUGGCAUCAGAGAAAGUGUCAAGUUUCUUAUAAAUUUGUUUUGAUGGUUAAAUAAAAUUCACAUAAAAUGCUUUUGAACUGCUUUGAAAAGUUAACUGUUUGUGUUAUAACUAUUCUUAUGGAAUUUGAGACUUUCUGAGAACAAUAGGGGGGAGUUUGAAGGCAAGAAAUAAAUAUGAAAGCACUUAAAUUCACUAAAAUAUAAUGAUAAAGACAAAAACCAAUAAAAAUAUAUCAACAAUGUCUUAUAUUUCUUAAAUUAGUAAUAAUGAGUACAGUUCUGACACCUCCAUUUAUCAUUUUUUUGUACACAUAUUUUGUACACCUUCAGGAUUUUCACUUCUUUAGAGUUUCAACAGAAUGUUUUAAAUUUUGUUUGGCUUUGUGCCAGCUAAUCUGCAUGCUAGAAGAUGUUUGAUUCCUGAGUCUGACUCUCUCCAAGUGUCCAAAGCUUUGUUGUUUGAUUUUAAGAGACUGAAGCUUUUCUUCUCCUAGACACUGCCCUUGGGUUCUAUUUCUUUCACAGAGAGGGAGAUGACUUGGAGGGUUAGAGUAGAAAAGGCUUUGGGUAACAGUAUUGACCCCACAGGGCUCCACUGGACCCCUUUACUGCCCAGGAGCAUCCAACCCUAGCCCUGGCAGUUGCUGUCCUGCUUGUACACCAUGAGCACAGAACUACUGGGCAUGUGUGUGCUGUGUUUUUUUUUAAUAUAUUAUCUAUGCCAGAGUGAUUUUUUAUUGUUGUUGUUAUUUACCUUUAUAGUGCUGCUCAUUGAACCCAGGGCCUUGCACAUGCUAGACAAAUGCUCUACCACUGAGCUACACAUCAGCCUCCAUUCUUUUUAGAAACAACUUAGCUUUCCACCUGCCCAUCAAUUUUCUGCCUUGCAUAUGCCACUGCCAAUAAAGAAGUCCUGGCUGCACUGCCUUCCCUGGCCAUCAGGUCUCUGGGGCCUUUGGAAGAUCAAUCCUGGGCCCCCCACUCUGUGAUGAAUACUCACUCCCUGUCCCACACAAACUACUUGACCAAACUGGUGGCCCAAGCUUGCUGGGCUAGUAAGGAGCCAGAUGGCAGCUUCAAGCCUGAACUUAAACACAUGUUAUACAUAUAAUAUACAAACACAUAUUAUAUCCAAACAUAUAAGUAUACUUUAAAUAUUAUGUAUUAGGGGCUGGGAUUGUGGCUCAGUGCAUGAGGCACAGGUUCAAUCCUCAGCACCACAUAAAAAUAAAUAAAUAAAAAUAAAAGUAUUGUGUGUCCAUCUACAACUAAAAAAAAAUUUAAGAUAUUAUGUAUUAAAUGUAUGUAUAGUCUAAAAAUGGUAUUUCCGGGCUGUGGAUGUGGCUCAAGCAAUAGCGCGCUCGCCUGGCAUGUGUGCGGCCUGGGUUCGAUCCUCAGCACCACAUAUCAACAAAGAUGUUGUGUCCGCCGAGAACUAAAAAAAAAUAAAUAUUAAAAAAUUCUCUCUCUCUCUCUCUCUCUCUCUCUCUCUCUCUCCCCCCCCUCCCUCCCUCUCCCUCUCCCACUCUCUCUUUA
ensembl:lincRNA